CCCCGGGUUUACGCUUGGGUCGCCCAAGACCGGGCUGGACAUCAGACAGAACUGGCAGCUGUGUGUGCCAGCGAUCCCUCCCUUCACAGUCGCUCCCGGCGUCAUCAAGGACAACGGCGUGUACUGCGAGUACGACAAGCAUGGCUGCCACUUCGAUGACCGCUCCUGCAAACAAUUCGUGGCGUCGAAAUGCUCCUGUCACAACGGGUGCGCCUUGUCAUCCCCUUUGCGGGUCACCA
rnacentral:lncRNA from 1 species